GUUAUGGGCCCAGAUAAAAUGGAAGAAGAAAAAAAUCAUGUUUUUGUCUUUGAAGGGUUUAAUUUUAGCAACUGGCGUUUUGGAAUGGAAACUAUGUUGGAUCAAAAUGAUUUAUUAAGUUUUCUCAAGAUUUCAGCAAGUGAAUGCCUGGAAGUAAUAAUUAAGGAUGAAGACGAGGCUGAAGAAGUUGAUUCCAAAAGAAAAGAUCUAGAAUGUCUUUGGAAGUAGGAAAAAAGGUGCAAACAUCUUAUAAUUCAGAGAAUAUCAGAUGGUUAUCUAGAAUAUGUGAGAGAUAAAGAGACACUGAAGGAAAUGUGGGCUGCAUUAAUAUCAACAUUUGAAAGGAAAGGAAUC
rnacentral:lncRNA from 1 species